AGUCGAUUUACUUUGAGUCCAUCGUACUUUGACAUUUGACACAUUUCUUAUUAAAGUAAAUAAGUAAAGUGAAUCCAAAGUUAAAACCUUUUUUGUAACUAUUGUUCGGUUGUCAUGGUAACCGUGUUAUCCAUUAACACCUGGGAAGCUGUCGCUUCUAAUUUAUCGACAGCUGAUGUCAAAAGGUUAUCGCAGUUUCACCUUAGGAUAGUAAACUACUGUCUCAGUUCUUGGCCUAUCUUUUACGGAAACAAUCUUUUGGUUUUGUAGAUAGACUGUAUUGACAAUGGGAGGGUGUUCGGAAAGUUAGUGAAGCAGUGAUGAACCGUGAUAGUUACUAAAUUUUACAGUCUUAUUCUGCAUACUAAGUUGGAUUUGAACUAGCGAGAGUACAUUUUUGCUGAGUCGGAACCGAGACUAAAAGUAAACACUUUUUAUGGCAGAACACCGCUUUUUCUUUGGAAAAGGAAAAUGCCGCGUUAUUAAGUGUUGACACAAGGUGGGUGUUUACUAAGGAUGCAGGCAGAUAAAUAGCGCCGGAUCGAGUGGUCUUGACCCAGUCGCCAAGUACCACCAAGUGGGUUAUGUUAACCGUAUUACUGGCAAGUUGUUGUACCAAUACGCAGUCUAAUUAUUCAGUAACGAUUUAUUGGAUUACCCUAUGAUAGAAAUGGUAACAGAUGGACAGAUCACAAUACUUCCGACGAGGAUGAAAAAACUUUGUCUAAGUUGAAAUGAAAUGUGUAAUGGUCUAAUGUCUAUUUGUAAGUAAAUGUUUAGUGUCUAGCAGUCCUAUAAUGUGUAAACUAGCGUACAUGUGAAGUACAUACUCACUCCUACUUUAUUAACUAGUUCUUGAAUAUAAUAUCUUACUGAGUUUUCCCCUUGUGUAUGAUAUUGUCUGCAUUUUUAAUGUUAUGAUCGUUUUAGGCUUCACGCAUGGUUAACAACGAGUGGGAUUGUUACUCAAUCGUCAAGUCAGAAAGAGAUCUUACUGAUGACCGUUCAAUAAAACUGAUAAUCGAUAUCCACGUCAGUUUUUAGAAUCAAGAAGAGUUGCUCUGAUGUAUUCUGCGUUAUGUACAAGAUACACGAUAUUUUUAUGUAGCCUGCGUUCUGAAAUCAAAAGUACUCGCGAAAUAAGCGACUUUAGCACAAGUUGCGUGUGGUCUGCACGCAUGUAACCCCGGACAGACAAUUGCUUGCUAUUUGCUUAGUUUGUUAACAAUGAAAAUUACAUAGAUGUUAACGGUCUCGCUCACGUACGCUACAUGAGUCAAACGAUAUAAACUCAGUAAUAACCAGACGGACCAUAGCCACACAAUCGAGAACUUAUCGAUUCAUCGUUUGUCCUGCGUCGCGUGCCAAACCAAUGCUAUUCGCGAAGGCAUACGAUUAAUUUAUUUAUUGAAAUCAAUACUAAUAUCUGCCAAGACAAUGGCCCCAAAUGAAAAUGCGUACACACAUAUGGCAUGUCGGAAUGCUAAACGGAGCGGCGUCAUUUAUUCAAUACGCCAUUUUGCAUUCGAUUUUGAGGUUAUUAGAUGCAAUCGGAAUGCGUGCGGCCAUAUUGAUUUGGUUCGUCUAUAUUCGGUCGUCUUCGGCUCCCGUCGGCAGUUUAUGGCGACAAUUGACGUAUGUAAUGGCGGUGUCAUAGAUUUCUUGGAAGAUAAAAGCUAAUUACAUUCAUAGGGAAAUUGUAUUGAAAGAAUGCCGAAAUGUAUCGCCGUAUUAGGGUGGUUUUAUGGUUGUUUUUUAUAUGUUGGCUAGUGUCAUUCGCUCAUCGCUUAUUUAUAAAUACAAAUAUAAACAUUUGGUGGGUAUAAUAUAUGCGUCAUAUAUUUUUAAUCGUGUAGUUUAGAAUUGUUUAGCGGACUGAUAUAUUUUACAAGUGUGCGCAGGUGUAGAGAAGGCGAUAUUUUAUAAAUAUGUAAGUAUAUUCAUUAGGCGCCUUGUGUGCGGGUAGUCAGGAACUAUUAAUGAGGUAAUAACUGGCAGCAGUCACGAUGGACAUCGCCUUGUCUCUUGCGGCGACAGACUGUUCUGGGCAUGUCACAUAAAUCGAACGUAACAGAGCUCACGUAAAUAAAAAUACAUGAUAAAGCAUAAUACUAUCGUGAUGGAACUAAUUUUGAUAGCUCUGAUAAACUUUAAUAGGAAUCUUGUUUGAAAAACUUGUACAAAAAGGAUGAAAAAGUUUUACGUAAAAGAAUGAAUUUCUUAAAAUUAUGAAACUCAUUCUUAGUGACAGUCCAAACUAAGAGUUGUAUUAGGCUGUAUAUUGCUGUAACCAAUUAGACUAUAGGUACGACAUUUUUUUUGAAUUGCCACUUGACUUUGCAUAACCCUUUCACUUAUAACCUCUAAGAGAAAUCUAAAGCAAUAACAAAUCGAACAGAAUAUUCCUCUACAGCUUCUUGAAUCAUGAUAAAUACUUUCUGCUCGCGAUGACUUUAAAAGGAGUCAUAUUUUCUUUAGAAGUUCGUAAUGGCCCUGAAAGUAGGUACGUACUUACAGACAGUUUCAACAAAACAUUUUAUGCAUCAUCCAUUGCCUUUACGAUACACAUUAAGUUUUGUUUCAAAAUAUGUUACUGUUUAACUCAAAACAAAUAACUUUAGCGAUUAAUGUUUAAGACAGUCGCUCACGACUUUUUAUUUCAAUUUAGACACAUAUUUUGUACAUCUACCACUUUCCUAUCUGUUAGAACAUUUUAAUCACUGGAUGUGGUUACGAAUAGAUUUUCACUUGCUAUUUCCUUGCUAAUCAUUUAUUUACCUACCUAUUCUGAUUUCGUAAGGAAUGGAAUGAAUUGUCCAUCAUGUCACUAAAUGAUUCUUGCCAGUUUUGCUCCUGAUAUAUCUUUAAGAGUUUUUUCUUAUCAUAAGCUUGAUAAAUCGCCUUUGGGCCUCCGUCGCAUAAGAAUUCGAAAAGCUUUGCUUUCAGACCUAUUACUUAUCAGUUCAACCAAAUUACUUAGCCAACACUAAGUAUUUUUUAUAAUCUGGCAUUUCAAGUACGGUUUUCCUAAUUUUACUGCUCAAAUGUCCACCACUAACCAGUUCCUAUUCGCUCUCUUGCAGUACCUACUGCUAUUACCAUCACUGGCCACCAGUUUGUAAUGAAUAUUAUUAUGGAUUACUAUUGGCUUACUACUAUUCGUUUCAAACUUGGCAGUGAGUUUGGCACGCCACACAGGUUGAUAAAACUUAUGCUGUUAGCUAUUAUGUCAUUAAUUUAAAUAUUAUUCAAGGUGGUCACAAGGAUUUCUUCAACGACAUUAUCAGUGUGACAAUAUACAAAAUGUCGCCCUCAGGUGUCACUAGUAUUGUCACUGAGAAAUGGAGUGGAGAUACAAUUUGAUAUUUUGGAUCACCACCUACUUAAGUAUCAUUCUGACAAAAUUAUUUUAAGACUCACACUAAAUAUGGUACCUUUAAUCAUCGUAGACAAUUAGUGACAAUCUUAUUUAUGGUUAUCUUAUCUACGUUGAUAGAAAAAGUUCUUAUGAUGGUGGAAAUGUAUCUGCUGAAAACAUACCAACCUUUCCGGGGUGCUAUACCCAAAGGAUAAAACUAGAACCCUAUUGCUCCGUGUUCAAUGUCUAUCCUCUUGUCCGUACGUCCGUCACUAUACAGUAUCUCAAGAACCAUAGCUAGAUAGUUCAAAUGUGGACCGAUCUUGUAUUUACGUUACUGCUAUAACGACAAAUACUGAAACAUGUUAUCCGCGUUAACUUAUCAUUAGUAAGGUCAUCAAAUCUUGAUAGGCGACCAAAUUUUUGUCGGAAAUUUAUCUUUAAUUGUACUAUACUCUUACGCACUUGAUCGGUCGUUUUGUAAACCUUUUUACUUUAAAACAGCUCACUUGCUAUCGAAUCCAAGUAGCAGUACAAUUAAAUAUAAUAUGGCUAGGUCGGUUGUAUUAACAUUGCACGUCUUACCUACAGCACUGCACGUGACUCAUGUCCGGUGCGCUGCGUAGUGUUGAGACGAUGCGACAGGAUUUUCCUCCUGAUUUUUAUUGUUUCCUGGUACCUCCUUGCUUUAUUAAUGCAUUUUUGUUGGUAAAUUACUUAAUAUCGGAAACUGUUAACGGUUUUUUAGAGGAACUAGUCUUCCCAGAAAAUGUUGUUUUGUCAUACAGAUGAGAUCAGGGAAUAAAAAAAUGGGGUUUGAAAAAUAAAUGUUGUCCGGUCACACCUACCCAAUAUUCACACAAAAUUCCAUGAGAAUCGGUCGAGCCGUUUCGGAAGAAUUCAAUUCCGUACACCUU